CACAGUCAAAGCUACAUUGGAGUUGCUAAGGAACAAAAAGGUAGAUGACCUGAAAGCCAAACUAGCUGCCCAGGAAGUAGAACUGAAACAGAAAAAUGAAGAAGCUUGCAAGCUGAUCCAGGUGGUUGGGGUGGAAUCUGCGAGGAGAAGACUAUCGCUGAUGAGGACUAGCAGAAGGUAGCUCUGAUUGCUAAGGAAGUCAACAGGAAAGAGAAUUGUAAAGAUUUAGCCAAGGCAGAGCCAGCACUGCUUGAACCCCAGGAUGCUCUGUAUACUCUUAACAAAUAACAAUUUGACAGAGCUAAAGUCUUUUAGCUCACCAGUCUCGGCUGUUACUAACGUCACAGCUGCCGUCACGGUGCUCCUACCACCUGGGGUAAAAGCUCCCAAAGACUGAAGCUGGAAAGCGGCAAAGUAGACAGCUUCUAGUCAAGUUCAACAAGGAGAAUGUCCAUGAAAACUGUCUGAAAGCUCUCCAGCCUUACCUGAAGGACCCCGAAUUUAAUCUUGAAUUGGUGUCAAAGUCCCUUGCAGCCACUGUUCUUUGUUCCUGAGUUGUUAAUGUUGUGAGGUUUUAUGAAGUGCAUUGUAAAGUGGUGCCCAAAUGCCAGGCCCUGAAUAAAGCCAACACAGUACUGUAAAAGUGGUUUUAGCCAACAAUAUUAUUUCUUAAAUCUGUUGGGCACUUUAAUUCUCUAUAGAUAUUUAUGCUUUUUUAGAUUUUAGUAAACAUGUAUUUUCAAUUCAAAACAUGAUUUUUGGUACUAUACCAGGUUUUUUACAUUUUUUUAUACUCUUAUACAGGUAGUGUUGCACUGCCUGACACUCACAGUCUUGCGCUAAGUUAACUAUGGCGCAGUUUACAUUGAAAAGUAAAAAUAGGUCUCACCUUUUUGUCACUAUUUUGGUGGUGCCUUUUGGGCGAUGUAGUUCUUUCAAGGAGAGAAAUGAUCCUUCAAAAUUCAAAUGGCCUAAUUAAUAGUAAAAUCUGUGAGGGUGUAUUUAAAUGUUUGUGUCUGUGGUCCAGUUUGGCGUUGCGCGACUACUGAUAUUGUGC